AUACCUUUGUAUCAUUUAAUGUUAUUUAAUUUCAAAUUUAUUUUCGCAUUCACUUUUAUUCAAGUAUACUUAUCAUAAUUUUUUCUCACUGCUUAAUAUUUUUUCAGACAAUUUAGAUGACAUUGGGCAACUCAUCAAUUAGUUCAUGCUCAUUAUGCACAUCAACAUCAUGUCAUCAUCUCCAUUGGAUCUGUAUAUACAUGUUGUAGUUCAUCAUCUUUGUGGCUACAUCAUUUUGCAGUUGAUAGAUAACCACUUCAACUCUGGAAACAAAAAGGAUGAAUCUGAAAAAACCCAUCAAUGGUUCAUGCUCAUAACCCACAUUAAUAUCAUCAAUUAAAUGAUAUCUUUG
rnacentral:sRNA from 1 species